rnacentral:lncRNA from 1 species
AACCAAGCACCUCCAGGUCUCUACACAAAAACUCAGGACCCUGCCAAAGCACCCAACACCCCAGAUGUCCUUGAGAUAGAAUUCAAAAAAGGGGUCCCUGUGAAGGUGACCAACGUCAAAGAUGGCACUACCCACAGCACAUCCUUGGACCUCUUCAUGUACCUGAAUGAAGUUGCGUGAGUGCCCACAGACUGCCUGCCCCAUCCCCCACCCCGGAACUGCCACCUCAAGCAAACACAGGCCUGGACCUGUGUGACAAGUGGUCACAGCUGAAGUUCAUGACCUGGAGGUCUGGCAGUUUAGGCCCUGUAGACACAGAGUGCCCUGGGCCGAGGGUAUUGGUUUGUCAUUGGUAUUGGUUUAAAUCUACAACCCAGGAAGACAAAAGUUCCAAGUCUGCCGCCACCUCCCAUGGUCGGUCCGGCUGGGGCCACAGGCCUUUGGCCAAUUCAGGCAUCAGGACAAGAAAGAUAAGUCCUUGGUGAGGGCUAGAGCCAAGCAAGUCCCAGAAGCACAAGGAGCACACAGAACGACCCAGACAAUCCGUUCUCUUUCAGGCCCUUAGGUUACCCACCUGUCGGCUUGGGCCUGUUUUCCUGGCUCAGGUGUUCUGAGUCAUAGAGCCCGAGACAGGGUCAGUCAGUAUGCCCACAUAGGUUUCCCCUCAGCCAAGCCAUAGAAAGGCACCUGCUCAAUGGGUGGCCUCUGUCCUCCAGCCCUGUGGCAGCA